CGGAGUUAGUCUUUCAGAGCUUUGGUUUCUUCUAUUCAGAGCUUUGUGAUUCUUUGUUGGCAUGGGCGCCUUUAUGUGUUUGUUUAUUUUGUGACGUGCUUCUUACCUCUUAAGCUGGUGGUUGUGCUUCUGGUGCUUUAGGCAUGUGUCGUCUUGUUUCGUGGUAACUUUGUUCAUCCGAUGAUUAUUCUUUCUCUAACCCGUUAUUUUUUUUGCUUUUUGCGAAGGUGCUUGAUCGUGAUCCUUUGUGUUCUAGAGAUUGUUUUGUCUUAUAUUUUAUCAUUUUACCUUUUUCUGACAUCUAUUUGUUCUAAUCAAGACAUUAUAUGGUAAGAUGAGAUAAAUUAGUCUUCUUUGUUGAUAUAUUUUCAGCUCCAAACCUUUAUUAA
rnacentral:lncRNA from 1 species